rnacentral:lncRNA from 1 species
CAUGGAGGUUUUGGGCUACAACCACGCCAUGUUUGGCUUCGCACCUUACGGACCAUACUGGCGCAACAUGCGUAAAAUUACCACUCUCGAGCUCCUCUCGAACCACCGACUGGAUAUGCUCAAACAUGUACGAGAAUCUGAGAUGAAGGUAUCCUUACAAGAGUUAUAUCAACUUUGGAAAGAGAACAAAAAUAGCUCUGAUAAGGUUUUGGUGGAGAUGGAUAAAUGGUUCCGCGAUGCAACCGCCAACGUGAUUCUCAAGAUGAUAGUAGGGAAGCGAAUUUCGAGUUUGGGGAAUGAUGCAGAGAGUGGGAGAUGGAAGAACGCGUUGAAGGAGUUCUUCGAGUUGAGUGGGAAGUUUUUGGUAGCGGAUGCAUUCCCAUUUUUGAGAUGGUUGGACAUUGGGGGAGACGAGAGGUUGAUGAAGAAGGUGAAGAAAGUACUGAACGAAGUUGCUGAGGAAUGGUUACAAGAGCACAAGCAAAAGAGAGCUUCGGGUGAGUUCAGGGACGAGGAAGAAGACUUCAUGGAUGUCAUGCUGUCAAUCCUCACCGACGCCAAGGAGUAUGAUGCUGAUACAAUAAACAAAGCUACGUGCCUGGUAUGCUCUAAUUUGAUUUGUUAAUUCAUCAAUAAUCAAUCAUAAACUUCAUUUAGAAAUAACUCCAUUCAGAUUUUACCUUUGACAAUUUAAAUUAUAUAUGUUAUCUUUCGAUUACUUUUCAGAUUCUUAUCUUAGCAGCCACUGAUCCCACAGCGGUUACAUUGACAUGGUGUUUAGCCUUAUUACUCAAUAAUCGUGAUGCGUUGAAGAAAGCACAGCAAGAAAUAGACAUCCAUAUCGGUAAAGACAAGCCAGUGGAGGAAAAUGAUAUAAAGAAUUUAGUUUACCUUCAAGCCAUAAUCAAGGAAACCUUGCGAUUACACCCUGCCGGACCACUCGCAGUGCCUCAUGAAUCCAUGGAAAACUGCACCGUUAAUGGCUACCAUAUCCCUGCAGGCACAGAACUUCUCAUCAAUCUUUACAAAAUCCAUCGCGAUUCUCGCGUAUGGUCUGAUCCUUACAAGUUUCAACCGGAAAGGUUUUUGACUACUCACAAAAAUUUUGAUGUAAGGGGUCAGAAUUUUGAGUUGAUACCAUUUAGUAGUGGAAGAAGAAUGUGCCCUGGAGUUUCCUUUGCGCUUCAGGUUGUGCAGCUUACGCUAGCCAAUUUGCUGCAUGGGUUUGACUUAGCAACGCCAUUCGAUGAACCAGUUGAUAUGCGAGAGGCAGCCGGGCUGUCAAAC